AUUUUAGUUAAGGUAGUGUUAAAUAAGAAUCUUCUCAGAACACAAGAACUAGAGGUCACCAAAUGAAAUGAAAAGGCAGAGGUUUAAAACAAACAAAAGGACGUAUUUCUUCACGCAACGCACACUCAACCUGUGGAAUACUUUGCCAGAGGAUGUUGUGAAGGCCAAAACUAUAACAGGGUU